rnacentral:lncRNA from 1 species
AUGGCCACCAAUAUGGAUGACUUUAAAAGAGGACUAGAGUAGUGGCGGACUUUGGGGUCUCAAAUUUCAGUGGCACCUUAUGCGGCUUCAAAAUUUGCCACUUCCACAGACAGGAAAGAAGAAAAAGCUUUAUGGAAAUUCUGGCCAACAGAUUUCAGCACAGAACUAGUUAUAUCUAGGAGUUUGAUGUCCCUGGAUGUACAGGAGCAGUCUACAUGUAUUUCCCACACAUUUCUUGGAGGUCUUCUGCUACUUUACAUUUAGAGGGGGGGGAGAGUGUUAAAAACCCAAAUGACAAAUUUUGUUUUCUUGUGAGUGCUUUCAAAACCUAGUAUCUUAAAAUGUGUAACAAAUUUAAUCUACAUGUAUAAACUUCCUUGUUGUUAAUUUAUCUGUAUAGCAAAUCUAUAGCCAGCACACUGCAAAACCCCUCACUGUUAUGCAGAUGUUUAAUUUACACUUAGAAAAUGUUACAUCUGCUCUGCAUUUCCGAACAUAAUAACACUCUGGGGAUUGAGUCCGAAGUGAGCACCAUUUACUUAAAGAGAGAAAACUAUUACAAUAAACAAGAACACAAUCCAACUGAGGUAAGUUCUUCCCACAUUAAAUACAUUCAUAGAUACAUUCAUGUAUUUCAGUGGGAGAAGGCAAAAUCCCUGAAGAUCUUGAUUUAACUAUAAAUAGAAGGUGCACGGCUUUGGAGUAAAGAGGUUUCUGAGUCAUGCAAAUGUACAGUUUGUACACCAUCCUUGGAUUAACGGAGGUGAGAGAUUAUUCUUGAUACUUGAUCAUAGUAAUGUUGUAGCAUUUAUAUGAAUAGAUUUUCUAAAAUUAUUACAGAGAGUUGAAACUGAUAAUUAUUUUGUCUUACACAAAUUUCCUAUUUUAAAUUUCUGCUCCAUAGCUAGGAGCUGCAAUAUUUUGAAACAUCCACAUUUUUUAUUCUUUUUAUUCUGAAGCUUUUGAUGUUAUUGGAUGAGAGAUGGUGAAUCCUUUGAAGAAGGGUUUAGAUCAUCUUUACAUAAGUACUUUCUGACAUAUCUCCAGGUCUGCUAAAAGGAAAAUAGGUAAUGCAAGCUGGCUUUUUAAAAGCAUGUAAAAGCAUGUAACUGCAUGUUUUUAUAUUUAAAAAGCGUGUAACUGCAUGUUUUUAUAUUUAUUUUUUUAUUAGCUAUUACGGAGGCUGUUGAAGAGAAAGAGUAGUAGCCAUUAUAUUUUCUAGGGAUGGAAUGCACUUCUUAACCACAUUCACAGUCAUGUUUUGGAACAAUACAUAGUGUAACUUAUUUAUAAGAUAAAUGCAACAAAUUGUGUACUUGGAACCUGCACUGUACAUGAGGAUCAUUUGUCAGUCCUUCAAGCAGAGUGCCCACACUCUACAUGGGCUAAUAAAAAUGAUAGUUGCUGAAGGCCCUGCAUGUGCAUCAGAGCUGUAAAAGGAAAUGAUACGUGGACUUGAAGAGAACAAUCAUCUCCAGUUCAAAAGUACAUGACAUCUGGGAAGUAGACAAAAGUCUACUAUACCAUGCUUCUAGUAGUCACAUUUGCUUGUUUCUCCAGAUGGUGUGUCCCCCAUCUCCAAGUCUGCCACACACCCCCCCCCCCCAAUCUUGGAAAACAGUCUGAUAUUAGCCUUGAGCAGAAACUGGAAUUUUGAUAAGGGAAUUAUUAGCAGGAUGGAAAAUUCUUUGUUCUCCUCCUGGUCAAUGUAUCUUAUUUAAAACUGAGUAAGAACCACUGGGGAUCACAGUGGGUAGGAAAUACCAAAAACCAACUGACUACCAUAAGAAACGUGUAUAUGCAGCUAUGACUUGAUAUUAAUCAAGUCAUUGGUUUCAUGUAUGAAGUACAGUUAAACUUUGGAACUACUCUCUGGUAACUCAAACACAAUAUUUUUUCACAGACACAUCCUCAAUGAUGACUUACUAAUCCACUGAGAUACCACUUGAGCUGUUCUUUCUCUCCUUUUCAUAUUGUACGAAUAAAAAGAAAGGAGCCCUAUGGGGUGUAUGGCUUUCAUGAGUUUUGGGUUGUAUGCACGUGCUCUGCCACAGAGACACAUCAACUUACACAAUGACUCUAUAAUGAGCUCCUCUUUGGGGGAGAAUAGGUCUCUUUUUUCAUAUUACAAAAAAAAAAUAGUAAAAAUGAAGCACAUUGAAAAGAUUUGCAUAUUGCGAGAAUUGACAAUACUGUCUGCAUCUAGGGGUAGUCAAUAUUUUGUAUGAUGUUCUGUCUAGGAGCAUAGAAUAAUAAAGAUUUUCCUUAUGCUCACUCACACAACUGAUCUAUCUAGCUCAGUAUUGUCUACCCACUGAUCUUCAACUGGUCAGGACUUACUACUCAGUCAUGACCUGAUCCAGGAGCACUACCACCAUGCAGUUGUAAGGUAGCAUAUUAAGAGAUGGGUACCCAAAUGCAUGUUUCAGUUAAAAGUGGGUCCUCAGUCUGAAAAGGCUUAAGAUAACUGGCCUACACGUAUUGGCAGCAGAUGUCCAGGAUCUCAGGCAGCUGUCAUACUUAGCCCUUUCUGGAGAGUCUGGAGAUUGCACCUGGGACCUGUUGUAGUCAAAUCAGAUGAACAAGAGCUAUCAAUCACAGGCAAGAGAGGACUCAAUCAUGUUAUCCCUGGCUUGCAGUUGGAAUAAUACAGAACAGCAAGUGAAGCAUCAUACUAUUCUACUAAUACAGGGAGUUGGGGACCAAUUUCCUAAACCAGUAAAAAUGCCCACCAAUUCAUUUUCACUGGGCAAGGCAAGGUAACAGCUCUGACAGUCUGAUUUAGGAAAAUAUUAUGAAGCCCAUUUUAGAAUGAUGGUAUCAUACAUUUGAAAAACCUCAGUUAAGUGCAAGAUUAAUGAGGUUGCAGCAUGGCCAUGUACAGCAGAUGCAUGUAUCAUACAAGAGCUUGACAUUUUGUCAAGUGUACAUUUUGUGGCAAGCUUGGAUCUGUUGCUUCUCAAUGAGUGCAGCAGAGCAUUCUCAUUUCCAUCUAGUGUAGAUGCCAUAUUUCACAAGGCAGUGUAGAAAAAUUACACACAUUGAAAACUUACUUGCAGAAUAAAUAACAGAGCAGUCAAUAUUAGGUGAAACCAGAUAUAUUGUUAUUAUAGUUGUUGCUGUAUUCUAGAUGUUGUUUAUCUGAUAUUUUAAAGAGUCCACAAAAGGACCAUCUCUUGCAAAAAUCUGUUCACACUUGCAUUUGUCUUCCAGAAUUGAAAUAAUUUCAAGAAAGACAAACCUUGCACUGUAUUCAUCGGUUCUUAUUUUAAAAAGAGAGAAAUAAAAUGUUGUGGGAAAUGGAUAAUGUUGCUGUUAACUGUGGAAAUCCCAUAAUAUGUUAUCAUAUGACAUAGACAGCAAUGGAGACAGAAGGCACGAUUCUGCUUUAAAGCCCCCAUCAUAAUUACAACCCAUGUUCUUUAUGGUCAAGAAAAGAAAAUGGAAAACCACACAAUGGUUACACAAUUCAUCUUAGCGGGUUUCCAAGGCAAUCUAGAACUACAG